GGAAGUGCCUGUCAUGUCCGAUGGCACAGGGCCGUGUACUUGCGGUGGGCUCAGCUGAAGAAGGCAGCUGACGUGAGAGAGCCUCAGCAGGAUCACCUGGCGUUGGUGGAAACCACACACAAGGGGCCUGGUGACCAAGGCUGGUCAGGAAAGAGAGACCACAAGGGACGCAGCAGGGCCAGAUGCCCCUCUGCCAAAGAAAGAAAGAGGCGUCCCAAAGGGCCAGUGCACGGAGCUGCGCGGAGGGGAGGAGCGGAGUUCCAAUUUGGGCUCCAGAGAGAGAAGCCAGCCGCGGAGCCAGCCGCGGAAAGGAAAGGCGCGUUUGAGGAGAAAAGAGAAAAUCGCCAUCCUGGAAGGUGAGA